rnacentral:rRNA from 1 species
UACGAAGGGGGCUAGCGUUGCUCGGAAUCACUGGGCGUAAAGCGCACGUAGGCGGAUCUUUAAGUCAGGGGUGAAAUCCUGGAGCUCAACUCCAGAACUGCCUUUGAUACUGGGGAUCUCGAGUCCGGAAGAGGUGAGUGGAACUGCGAGUGUAGAGGUGAAAUUCGUAGAUAUUCGCAAGAACACCAGUGGCGAAGGCGGCUCACUGGCCCGGUACUGACGCUUAGGUGCGAAAGCGUGGGGAGCAAACAGG